UACAGAGGGUGCGAGCGUUAAUCGGAAUUACUGGGCGUAAAGCGCACGUAGUCGGCUUUGCAAGUCGGGUGUGAAAUCCCCGGGCUCAACCUGGGAACUGCAUUUGUGACUGCAUCGCUGGAGUACGGCAGAGGGGGAUGGAAUUCCGCGUGUAGCAGUGAAAUGCGUAGAUAUGCGGAGGAACACCGAUGGCGAAGGCAAUCCCCUGGGCCUGUACUGACGCUCAUGCACGAAAGCGUGGGGAGCAAACAGGA
rnacentral:rRNA from 1 species